rnacentral:pre_miRNA from 10 species
CCCCCCCAACCCUCCCCGUCUCCUAUAUGUACCCUGUAGACUCGAAUUUGUGUGAGCGUCUCCCAGUCACAAAUUCGUCUCUAGGGGAAUAUAUGGGCGAUGCCAGAGCCUUGGAAAGUU